AGCUUGAGAAGGCGGCGGGCGGAGAGGAGCAUCGUGUUCGAGGCGGAGACCCAGAGGGAGCCCCGCGCGCGGCCUCGCUCAUUGCUAUGGACAGUGCUAUCACCCUGUGGCAGUUCCUCCUUCAGCUCCUAAAGGAGCCUCAGAACGAUCACAUGAUCUGCUGGACCUCUAAUAAUGGGGAGUUCAAGCUUUUGCAGGCAGAAGAGGUGGCUCGUCUCUGGGGGAUUCGAAAGAACAAGCCUAAUAUGAAUUAUGACAAACUCAGCCGAGCCCUCAGAUACUAUUAUGUGAAGAAUAUCAUUAAAAAAGUGAAUGGUCAGAAGUUUGUGUACAAGUUUGUCUCGUACCCAGAGAUUCUGAACAUGGAUCCGAUGACAGUGGGCAGGGUUGAGGGAGACUGUGAAGCUUUAAGCGUCAGCGAACUCAGCAGCAACAGUUCCAAAGAUGUGGAGAAUGGCGGGAAAGAGAAGCCACCACAGCCUGGUGCCAAGACCUCUAGCCGCAAUGACUACAUACACUCUGGCUUAUAUUCUUCAUUUACUCUCAACUCUUUGAACUCCUCCAACAGGAAGCUUUUCAAAUCUAUAAAGGUUGAGAAUCCAGCUGAGAAAUUGGCAGAGAAAAAAUCUCCUCAGGAGCCAACGCCAUCUGUUAUCAAAUUUGUAACCACACCUGCCAAAAAGCCACCAGUUGAACCUCUUGCUGCUGCCAUUUCAACUGGCCCAAGUAUUUCUCCAUCUUCAGAAGAAACUAUGCAAGCGUUAGAGAAUUUGGCUUCCCCCAGACUGCCUUCUCUGGAAGCACCAACUUCUGCAUCUAGUGUAACUGCCGCUUUUACCACCACACCACCUAUUUCGUCCGUGUCCCCUCUGCAGGAGCCUUCUAGAACACCUUCACCACCGCUGAGUUGCAACCCAGACAUGGACACAGACAUGGAAUCAGUGGCGUCUCAGCCAAUGGAACUUCCAGAGGACUUGUCCCUGGAGCCUAAAGACCAGGAUUUGGCUUUGCCAGAAAAGGACAAAACAAAUAAUUCAUCAAGGUCCAAGAAACCCAAGGGGUUAGAGCUGGCACCAACCCUGGUGAUCACAGGCAGUGAUCCAAGCCCACUGGGAAUAUUAAGCCCAUCUCUCCCUACAGCUUCUCUUACGCCAGCACUUUUUUCACAGACGCCCAUCUUACUGACUCCGAGCCCCUUGCUCUCCAGUAUCCACUUUUGGAGUACUCUCAGUCCUGUUGCUCCCCUAAGUCCAGCCAGGCUACAAGGUGCUAACACACUUUUCCAGUUUCCUUCUGUGCUGAACAGUCAUGGGCCGUUCACUCUGUCUGGCCUGGAUGGACCUUCCACCCCUGGCCCAUUUUCCCCAGAUCUACAGAAAACAUAACCUAUGCACUUGUGGGAUGAGAGAACCAAGGAAUAAAGAAACAGAAAGAUACCCAACAUGAUUACAUUUAAAAAAUCUAGAAUUGUGCUGAGGUGCCAUUCUUAGGUGUGUAAACAAGUAUGGCGACAAGUGCAGGUCUCUGUGCAGAAGCCUGGAGCUCUGAGUGAAGGACCACAGCAACAGGAAAACUAGACUCUUCAUGAAGUACUUAGUCUGUGAUCUGAGGGUGUGACAGGAUGGAAUUGAGAAGUUAAUUGUUCAAUUCAUAGUAGUGAAGUGGAGGCCAGCCAUAGUUAUCUUGAGCAGGUACUCUGACCAGAGAAUUAGUUCGAUGGAAAGUGUUUGGUUAAUUAUCUUCUUGGUUUUGGGUCAACAAUUAAAUUAACAGUUGUUACUGUUUUUAAUGCUGCUGGCGUUGCCUGAAACAAGGUGCCGUGUUAUUUCUCUGUGUCAUCAGAACUCUGCUUACUGAAGUUGAAGUUUUAAUCUUAUAAUCUAGAAUUCUUGUGGGUGGUGGUGUAUUAAGCAAGAAAAAAAGGCGGUUUGAUUUCAUUUCUCGUACUUGGUGGAACCUGUUAGGAUGAAAGUCAUGUUUUUACCUGUAAACAGAGCAGAACUGAAAAGGUGAGUUAUUGAUGUAGUAUAAAUGUUCCAUUUGAAGCUGCCAGUUUCUUCAAGCUACUUUUCUGAAAAAAAAAUUGUGAUAGAUUGACAGCCUGCCAGAAAAUAGCAAUUUCUAGGGUGCUGCCAUCCACACUUAGCUGUUGUGAAAAUGGAAAUUAGAGUGGUUUGUGUGAGAGGGGAAAGGUUGGCUCUAAGCUUUCCAUAGAAACCAGGAAAUUCAGGCUGCUGUUAACGUUUUAAAUGAAACCUUUAACAAGAAAAUUUAUGAGGGAUACAAUCAAACAUAGUCUCUUGAACUCUAAUCUUUUGAGUAUAAUAUACAUCAAGAAGUUUUAUGAGGCUGAAGUUUUUAUUUUAAAAUAUUUUGGGAAACUAGAGCAUUUCUUUCCAAGUCAUUCUGAUUGGCUGAGUGCAUAUCUGUGUGCGUAUAUAUACUGAUGUAUUGACUGAGUAUAUGUUUAUGUGUAUGUGUAUAAAUAAAUCUAUUUUUCAGAGGGGACAUAUGGUCAUCCUAGUCUAGGAUGGUUCCUAGGCUAUUUUAUACUAAAACUUAAAAACAAAAA